AGAGUUUGAUCCUGGCUCAGGAUGAACGCUGGCGGCGUGCCUAAUACAUGCAAGUCGAGCGAACUGAUUAGAAGCUUGCUUCUAUGACGUUAGCGGCGGACGGGUGAGUAACACGUGGGCAACCUGCCUGUAAGACUGGGAUAACUUCGGGAAACCGAAGCUAAUACCGGAUAGGAUCUUCUCCUUCAUGGGAGAUGAUUGAAAGAUGGUUUCGGCUAUCACUUACAGAUGGGCCCGCGGUGCAUUAGCUAGUUGGUGAGGUAACGGCUCACCAAGGCAACGAUGCAUAGCCGACCUGAGAGGGUGAUCGGCCACACUGGGACUGAGACACGGCCCAGACUCCUACGGGAGGCAGCAGUAGGGAAUCUUCCGCAAUGGACGAAAGUCUGACGGAGCAACGCCGCGUGAGUGAUGAAGGCUUUCGGGUCGUAAAACUCUGUUGUUAGGGAAGAACAAGUACGAGAGUAACUGCUCGCACCUUGACGGUACCUAACCAGAAAGCCACGGCUAACUACGUGCCAGCAGCCGCGGUAAUACGUAGGUGGCAAGCGUUAUCCGGAAUUAUUGGGCGUAAAGCGCGCGCAGGCGGUUUCUUAAGUCUGAUGUGAAAGCCCACGGCUCAACCGUGGAGG
rnacentral:rRNA from 1 species